GACAGAGGUGCCGAGCGUUAGGCGGAAUCCCUGGGCUUAAAGCGUGUGUAGGCGGAUCGUUAAGUACCUUGUGAAAUCCCACGGCUUAACCGUGGAACUGCUUGGUAUACUGGCGAUCUUGAGCCACCUAGGGGCAACCGGAACAAAUGGUGGAGCGGUGAAAUGCGUAGAUAUCAUUUGGAACGCCAAUGGUGAAAACAGGUUGCUGGGGGUGUGCUGACGCUGAGACACGAAAGCCAGGGGAGCGAACGGG
rnacentral:rRNA from 1 species